rnacentral:rRNA from 1 species
AUUGAACGCUGGCGGCAUGCUUUACACAUGCAAGUCGAACGGUAACAGGGAGCUUGCUCCGCUGACGAGUGGCGAACGGGUGAGUAAUGCAUCGGAACGUACCCAGUCGUGGGGGAUAACGUAGCGAAAGUUACGCUAAUACCGCAUACGAUCUACGGAUGAAAGUGGGGGAUCGCAAGACCUCAUGCUCGUGGAGCGGCCGAUAUCUGAUUAGCUAGUUGGUGGGGUAAAAGCCUACCAAGGCGACGAUCAGUAGCUGGUCUGAGAGGACGACCAGCCACACUGGGACUGAGACACGGCCCAGACUCCUACGGGAGGCAGCAGUGGGGAAUUUUGGACAAAUGGGGGGAAACCCCUGAUCCAGCAAUGCCGCGUGUGUGAAGAAGGCCUCGGUUGUAAGCACUUUGUCAGGAACGAAACGGUAGGGGCGUAAUACCU